rnacentral:sRNA from 1 species
AAAACACCAAAAGGGAACUAGGACAGAAUGGGGUCAGAGUAUAAGAACAAAGGGAAACAGAAAAAGACUGAGCUCAAAUUUCAAAGAUAUGAAAGUUUGAGUUAAUAAAGGAGUAAUGGAUGUCAACAGAAGGAAGCACACUAUUAAAUAGCAAGAUAAUCAAAGAAAAACAGAGAUAUAGAGGGAAUAAUUGCAAUCAAAAUAUAUUAUUUUUAAAUAAAGAAAAUCAUGGAAUAAAAAAUGAGUAAAAGUCAGGACAAGAGACAAAGCUUUUGGAGUUUAUGGCAGAAAGAAUUUCAACUGGGUGAUUCAUGCACCCAUUAGAGCUUGAGAAGCACUGCUUGGAAGCCCCUUCUGCCAUAAAUGAGGCUGCACAGAGUACUUCCUCCUGGCAGCCAUGGCUUAUGACCGCUGUCUUGCCAUCUGCUAUCCUUUACACUACAGAGCCAUCAUGAGUAGCCUGCUCUCAGUGCAGCUGGCCCUGGGCUCCUGGGUCUGCGGUUUCAUGGCCAUUGCAGUGCCCACAGCCCUCAUCAGUGGCCUGUCCUUCUGUGGCCCCCGUGCCAUCAACCACUUCUUCUGUGACAUUGCACCCUGGAUUGCCCUGGCCUGCACCAACACACAGGCAGUAGAGCUUGUGGCCUUUGUGACUGCUUUUGUGGUUAUCCUGAGUUCAUGCCUCAUCACCCUUGUCUCCUACGUGUACAUCAUCAGCACCAUCCUUGGGAUCCCCUCUGCCAGUGGCCGGAGCAAAGCCUUCUCCACGUGCUCCUCGCAUCUCACCGUGGUGCUCAUUUGGUAUGGGUCCACAAUUUUCCUUCACGUCCGCACCUCUAUCAAAGACGCCUUGGAUCUGACCAAAGCUGUCCACGUCCUGAACACUGUGGUGACUCCAGUUUUAAACCCCUUCAUCUAUACGCUUCGUAAUAAGGAAGUAAGAGAAACUCUGCUGAAGAAAUGGAAGGGAAAAUAAAUCUCCUCUGCCACAACAGAUGUCCUGUAAAUGGUCUCUGCAUCUAUACAGAGGUUCCAAGUAAGAAUGUGGAGGAACAGGGCAAAUCUUUCUUGGUACACAGAGAAAAAACAAACAAAACAAGCAAUACUAUAUUUUCUAUACAUUAUCAUGUAUGAUAAAAAUGGGAGUUUUUGACAUAAGCAAAUGGGACUUUUUAAGUAAAAAAUAAUUGUACAUUGAAUUAGGUUUGCUCUGGACUUUGGUUUAUAAAUUAGAGACAUCUGCAAUAAAAAGAGUGUUUUGGUAUAUCAGCUCUAAAUUCUUGUUUCUCUUUAAAGAUUAGCAAAAUUGUCUUAGUAUAAAAUAUUGAGAACUACAUUUGUGGAACACGAGGGAAGAGAAAUAUGC